rnacentral:lncRNA from 1 species
AGAUAAGACCAUACACCUCUGGCGGAACAACAUCAAUCCCAGAGGAUAGCUCAACAACUGAGUAGGCCGAUUUGACGGAGAAAAUUCCAGUAGCAUUAUGCUUCCAGAACCAAAUUUCUUGAGCAUUUGUGAUAUGUAUGGAAUUUAGAGUCCCCAUGAGGUCAUCCAUCAGAUCCGCCUCCCAGACAAACAAAUUCCUCCUCCAUUUC